UAAGUAUAUGUUCCGAGAACAGGUACAA
rnacentral:sRNA from 1 species